rnacentral:rRNA from 1 species
UACGGGGGGGGCAAGCGUUGUUCGGAAUUACUGGGCGUAAAGGGUUAGUAGGUGGCCAACUAAGUCAGACGUGAAAUCCCUCAGCUUAACCGAGGAACUGCGUCCGAUACUGAAAGGCUUGAAUCCGGGAGAGGGAUGUGGAAUUCCAGGUGUAGCGGUGAAAUGCGUAGAUAUCUGGAGGAACACCGGUGGCGAAGGCGGCAUCCUGGACCGGCAUUGACGCUGAGGCGCGAAAGCUAGGGGAGCAAACGGG